ACCGUGCUAUUGGUUGACCCUACCGCGGAGGAUGGCAAGCACCACAACAACCGCAAUGUUCAUGCUUUACACUUCAUGGCAUGUUAAAUUAUAAGUUAGUGCUUCAAAAGUUCCACAACCGUAAUGAGCUCUGUAACGGUUCAAGGACGGAUCGUCAUGGGCUGUACAUGACCUGUCUUCAAACUUGAAAGCUGUUCCUCUGAACAUCAACCUCACGCAAAGAGCAGGAGGACAGCAGACAGAGACAGACUGUGUGUGUGCGCUGGUAAAGGUACUUUAUUUGUCACAGCGCCCGGGGAUCAACUCCAGAGUGAAGGCAGUGUGGCAGAUCAUGGCACGAAAGCAGCUCUGGGUGAUGGCAUACGAGGGAGAAACUGACUUCCCACGUUGCUGGUGACCAUGCUGGAAGGGGCGGAAGGCGAUGCUCCUGAACAUCCCGUCCUCUGCUGGCUCCUCCAGCCUCAGCUGAGGGAUGACAUGCCCGAAGGCCAUUUCCUCUGUAACAGCAGCUGGAUCUGCUCUGCGGUCUGCAAGGCGAGGUGGAACUGCCUCCUGUUGGAAGUGGAGUCUGGGGACCUGCGGGUGUCCUCGAGAGGGUUCCCAGGUUGACACGGACACUCCAUCUUGGCAGUUCAAUAGGUUGUCAACAUAAGAAGAACAUUCAGAGGGAAGAGAUGAAUGUCAGUCAAUAAGUGGCUGACAGGUCAAUAGAUAUCCCUGACCUUGUUGCCAGGGGUGUGAGUGUCACGAUGAAAGGCUGGAGAUCGAGAGAGACUAUGGAGGUGAAAGGACAAGCCCAAUUGCUGUGUCCUAAGCCACUAUGAGACCACAGAUCAUGAUGGACUUACAGAUGGUGAUGUCCAGGCUGUAAUAAAAUAACUUCAAAGCCCA